UACGUAGGGUGCAAGCGUUGUCCGGAAUUAUUGGGCGUAAAGGGCGCGUAGGCGGCUUUUCAAGUGACGGGUGAAAUCCCUCGGCUUAACCGAGGAACUGCCUGUCAGACUGGAAGGCUUGAGACCGGGAGAGGUGAGUGGAAUUCCCAGUGUAGCGGUGAAAUGCGUAGAUAUUGGGAGGAACACCAGUGGCGAAGGCGGCUCACUGGACCGGAACUGACGCUGAGGCGCGAAAGCGUGGGGAGCAAACAGG
rnacentral:rRNA from 1 species